AAACAUUGACAACAACAUACACCUGUUGUCCGCCUGGGUACUACGAGCAUUAGCUUAAAACCCAAAGGACUUGGCGGUGCUUUAGACCCACCUAGAGGAGCCUGUUCUAGAACCGAUAACCCCCGUUCAACCUCACCCUUCUUUGUUUUUCCCGCCUAUAUACCGCCGUCGUCAGCUUACCCUGUGAAGGGCCUAUAGUAAGCAAAAUUGGUACAACCCUAAACGCCAGGUCGAGGUGUAGCGUAUGGAAGGGGAAGAAAUGGGCUACAUUCUCUAACAUAGAGAAAACGAAUGAUGUACUGAAAUAUAUAUCUGAAGGAGGAUUUAGCAGUAAGCAGGAAGUAGAGUGUUCC
rnacentral:rRNA from 1 species